GACGAACGCUGGCGGCGUGCUUAACACAUGCAAGUCGAACGGAAAGGCCCUGCUUUUGUGGGUCGCUCGAGUGGCGAACGGGUGAGUAACACGUGAGUAACCUCCCCUUGACUUUGGGAUAACUUCAGGAAACUGGGUCUAAUACCGGAUAGGAUCUCCUGCUGCAUGGUGGGGGUUGGAAAGUUUCGGCGGUUGGGUAUGGACUCGCGGCUUAUCAGCUUGUUGGUGGGGUAGUGGCUUACCAAGGCUUUGACGGGUAGCCGGCCUGAGAGGGUGACCGGCCACAUUGGGACUGAGAUACGGCCCAGACUCAUACGGGAGGAAGCAGUGGGGAAUAUUGCACGAUGGGCGGAAGCAUGAUGCAGCAACGCCGCGUGCGGGAUGACGGCCUUCGGGUUGUAAACCGCUUUCGCCUGUGACGAAGCGUGAGUGACGGUAAUGGGUAAAGAAGCACCGGCUAACUACGUG
rnacentral:rRNA from 1 species